rnacentral:rRNA from 1 species
AGGACGAACGCUGGCGGCGUGCUUAACACAUGCAAGUCGAGCGGUAAGGCCUUUCGGGGUACACGAGCGGCGAACGGGUGAGUAACACGUGGGUGAUCUGCCCUGCACUCUGGGAUAAGCCUGGGAAACUGGGUCUAAUACCGGAUAUGACCUGCUCUCGCAUGGGGGUGGGUGGAAAGAUUUAUCGGUGCAGGAUGGGCCCGCGGCCUAUCAGCUUGUUGGUGGGGUAAUGGCCUACCAAGGCGACGACGGGUAGCCGACCUGAGAGGGUGACCGGCCACACUGGGACUGAGACACGGCCCAGACUCCUACGGGAGGCAGCAGUGGGAAUAUGCACAAUGGGACGAAAGCCUGAUGCAGCGACGCCGCGUGAGGAUGAAGGCCUUCGGGUUGUAAACCUCUUUCAGCAGGACGAAGCGACAAGUGACGGUACCUGACAGAAGAAGCGAACCGGCUAACGUACGCG